GACACAGCGAGGAGGCAUUCCUGCGAGCGCAGUGAUCCUGUCAUUAGGGCCACACAGAAGGUGAAAGGCAUUGCUGAGUGCUGCGGGGAUGACCUUUUGGGGCGACGGGGGACGGAGGAAUAGCGGAGCUCUGGCCACUACUCCGCAGCCACGAGAGUGUGUCAUCUUCCGCCAAGUGACGUGUCCAUGCUAAUGCAGAAUGUCCCCCGCGGGACAGGGAAGGGGCCGAGCCCCGCGGACCGGCAGGAUGAGCUGUUUGUUCAUGAUACUUUAGGUCAAACAGUCUCCUCCCGGCCAGUCAAGGCUGAUGAUUUCACAGAAACUGUGUAGAGAGCCACAGCUAACUCGCAGCGAGUGGAAAUUCAAAGAUUUCCAGAUAAGGAAGAGAGGAGAAAAGCAAAGGAAGAAACCAAGGACAGAAACACAGAGCCGGAGUCUGCAGAGAAGGAGAGCAACCAUGUAACUGACAGUGUAGAAAAAGCAUCAAGCGUUACCACCCUCUACAAAGCAGUGUGAAGCUACAGCCCCCAGCUGCCUCCACUUCAGAGGGAGAGGACAUGUCAAAACAGCACAUGGCCCUGCCCCUGCCAAAGUGGAGCACUCUCGCGGGUCAUCUGGAGUGACAGAAUGGCUGCGGUCCUCCGCUGUUGUCUGAGGCACCGGGAGACGUGGACGGUCGCUCCUGCGAGAAGACCUGCGUUCGCGCCAAAACACCUUAACUGUGUGUUUUGUGAAGUAACUAAAGCGCACCGACUGAAAUGAUCUUUGAAGUGCACUCCUCUCUUCACACGAAAAUAACUUGUGCAGUAUUUCCGAACACUGGACUUGUUUGGACAAAAUUCGUGUGGCGCCUUUUUUGUUUGACUGUUGAAAUAGCUCUUUGUGUGACUCAAUUAAUGUAAAUUAAAGCUGCGGACAUCUUGUUGUAAAUAUAGUGUCAAAUAUGUUCGAUUGUAUGAAUAUAAAAUGCAUUUCAAUUACAUGACAAUAUUCAGUCAAAAGAUUAUUUUUUUUCUUUUUUUCUUUCUUUCUGUUCCAUCACAACAACAAGCCGGAUUUUUUUGAGUGUUAAAUCAAUCCAUUUGUUCUCCGUAGAGGGCUUUUCUGAACAACCUUGCCGUCUCAUGCGGUGCACUGUAGGAUGAACAGCGGCAUAAAAAUGUCAUUGAUUUCUGAUUGUGUUUGCGCUAAUGCUAUGUCAAGCCAGCCCCGGCCCCCUUUGUCCAGUCUGCAGACCAUUUGGCUGCAGCAGUGCACUUGGCAAGCCAGAUAACAGGUGAAUGGCCAUGGCCUAAUAGGCCAUCUGUGGAAAACACAUUGCAGUCAAUUAAGAGUCCACUUCCUCCAGUUGUGAUGGCCAUUAGACGGCCCCACCACAACAAGUGACUCUUCAGUGGCUUUUACUCUUCAGCGACCCGCUCCUUUUCAUUCACGGUGUCCUCGAGCUGCCCAGUCCCUGAAAAACUGACUUUUUUUUCUAGUUUUGUUGUCCACUGGGCUUUCUAUAGAAAUGCUGUUUUUCCGCUUGAGGGUUUUAUGUGACCCUGAUGGCCAAAUAGAACUUCAUUUCUUCUGUUCAUAUUCUAACUCCCACCAUUUCAUCACACAAAAGGAGCACAGCUCUUAGCUCCCCUCAAAAGAUCCUAGAGAAUCAUUAGAUACGCACAAUGAACUCAUUUAAAAGUCCUUAACAUUUGUUGGACACAUUUUUUACCAUUUUUCAUAUCUGGUCCCUCACAAUCCCCAAUGGACUAACGCACUUUCACACACGCACACACACACACGCACGCACGCACGCACGCACGCACGCACACACACACACACACACACACACACACACACACACACACACACACACACACACACACACACACACACACACACACACACACACACACACACAACUCCUAUUGUAAUGAGGACACUCACUAGUAUACUGCAUGCCCUAGCCCCUUAACCUUAACCAUAGAUGCCUUACCCCAAACCUUACCCUAACCAUGGCCUAAACCCGAUUCAAACCCUAACACUAAAACCAAGUCUUAACCAUCCAGCAGCCCUUUGAAAGUGUGUCAGACAGUGAGGACCAGCCAAAAUGUCCUUCUAUUUUCAAAACAUGUUCCUGUUUAACCAGAUGAACAACAGCAGGGUGACAGUCAUUCAUUAUUUUCAUUUGCUUCAACAAACUAGUCAGGAAACAUUGCACCUCUUCAAAGACGAGGAUAUUACAUUCAGUCUUAUUCACAAUGGAGGAUGUAAUUGCUCAAGCCUUAGACGUGAUCUCUUUGGACGUUGCAAUACGUAAGAGAGAUGUUGGAAAACAAGCUUUCACACCUUUCGUCACAGUGUAAUUAAAGGCGUA